rnacentral:rRNA from 1 species
CCCCUAGUAACUGCGAGUGAAGCGGGACGAGCUCAAAUUUGUAAUCUGGCGGUUCUGCCGUCCGAGUUGUAAUCUGGAGAAGUGCUUUCCGCGCCAGACCGUGUACAAGUCCCUUGGAACAGGGCGUCAUAGAGGGUGAGAAUCCCGUCUCUGACACGGACGCCUGGUGCUAUGCGAUGCGCUCUCGAAGAGUCGAGUUGUUUGGGAAUGCAGCUCAAAACGGGUGGUAAAUUCCAUCUAAAGCUAAAUAUUGGCGAGAGACCGAUAGCGAACAAGUACCGUGAGGGAAAGAUGAAAAGCACUUUGGAAAGAGAGUAAAACAGUACGUGAAAUUGUUGAAAGGGAAACGCUUGAAGUCAGUCGCGUCGUCUGGAACUCAGCCUUGCUUCUGCUCGGUGCACUUUCCAGUUUGACGGGCCAGCAUCGGUUUCUGAGCCGGACAAACUCGGGAGGAAGGUGGCGGCUCCGGCCGUGUUAUAGCCUCCCGGCGCACAACGGCUCGAGGGACCGAGGAAUCCGGCGCUCGCGCAUGGGAUGCUGGCGUAAUGGCUCUAAGCGACCCGUCUUGAAACACGGACCAAGGAGUGCUACACGCUCGCGAGUGUUUGGGUGGAAAACCCGGACGCGCAAUGAAAGUGAAAGUCGAUACCCUUUGCUGGGACACCGACGCCCGAGCCUGAUGUUUUCGGAAGGCCUUGCGGUAGAGCGAGUGCGUUGCGACCCGAAAGAUGGUGAACUAUUCCUGAGGAGGGCGAAGCCAGAGGAAACUCUGGUGGAGGCUCGUAGCGGUUCUGACGUGCAAAUCGAUCGCAGGACUUGGG